CUCUUCCAUUUCAUCUCUUCAAAUAUCUUCAAUGCUUCCUCAACUUUUACUGACCUGCCUAAGCUCUCAAUCAAAGUUUGUAAGUUCGCAAAUCCGGUUGAACUCUCUCUCACUCAUUUCUUUGAAAUAUAUUAAGCACAAAUCAAAUCUAACUACAUUCUACAAGCUGGUUCAGAAGGUGUUGUAUGUUACAAUAACUUGAAUAAGAUUAACCUUUUUCCAUAGCAGCAAAUUCAUGUAACAUUUCAUCUCCUUUUCCAAGCCGACCCAAAAUUCCCAAAAUGGUAUUAUUUGUAACCAAGCCUCGUUUACAUUCCUAACUUUUCAUAUGAUCAAAUGCGAAAAGUGCUUUGUCAACAUGUUCGCAUUUAUCAAAGGCAAAGAUAAGUCUGUUCAGAACUAUUUCAUUUCAACGGAACACCAUUCCUGAGUUUUCGCUAAUAAAUUUCAAUAAUAUGACAGGAUCAUUGUGCUUCACAAACAUUCUAGCAAGGAUAAGAUAUGAAGUUAAUCUUAUAGAGUCACAAAACACCAAGAAAAUUUGGAAGACCAGGUCAAUAUUAUUAUUUUUUUCACCUGCAGCAGCAUCUAGAAGGCGCUCAUACGUGCAAGGGCCAAAGAAUAUGUGCUUCUUACAUAACGAAUGCAUUAGCCCAGCAACAGUUAGAAGAUCUCCAGCAGCAUCGAGUUUGUCAACAUAAGUGGUACAUAUUUCUUCUCUAUAAAUGGAAGAGUCCUUAAUAGCAGAAUAGAUUUCAUUCAAAAUUUCAUCAUUACUUUCUUGAAGAAGAGAUGCUUCUUUUGUUAUUGAUUAUGGAUUGCAAACUGAAUUACUAAAU
rnacentral:lncRNA from 1 species